CCAAUAGCGUAUAUUAAAGUUGUUGCAGUUAAAAAGCUCGUAGUUGAACUUCGGGGUCUACCCAUUGGUCAGGCUUAAUUGUCUGCACUGGUGAGAUGGAUCUCUACCUUCUGAGGAACUUUCAUGCCAUUUAUUUGGUGUGAUGGGAAAUCAGGACUGUUACUUUGAAAAAAUUAGAGUGUUUAAAGCAGACUAUCGUCUGAAUACAUUAGCAUGGAAUAAUGAAAUAGGACGGACUGAUUCUAUUUCGUUGGUUUCUAGGAUCACCGUAAUGAUUAAUAGGGAUAGUUGGGGGCAUUAGUAUUCAAUUGUCAGAGGUGAAAUUCUUGGAUUUAUUGAAGACUAACUACUGCGAAAGCAUUUGCCAAGGAUGUUUUCAUUAAUCAAGAACGAAAGUUAGGGGAUCGAAGACGAUCAGAUACCGUCGUAGUCUUAACCAUAAACUAUGCCGACUAGGGAUCGGAUGAUGUUAAUUUUUUAAUGACUCAUUCGGCGCCUUACG
rnacentral:ncRNA from 2 species